UGGGGAAUAUUGCACAAUGGGCGCAAGCCUGAUGCAGCCAUGCCGCGUGUAUGAAGAAGGCCUUCGGGUUGUAAGGUACUUUCAGCGGGGAGGAAGGGAGUAAAGUUAAUACCUUUGCUCAUUGACGUUACCCGCAGAAGAAGCACCGGCUAACUCCGUGCCAGCAGCCGCGGUAAUACGGAGGGUGCAAGCGUUAAUCGGAAUUACUGGGCGUAAAGCGCACGCAGGCGGUUGAUUGAGUCAGAUGUGAAAUCCCCGGGCUUAACCCGGGAAUUGCAUCUGAUACUGGUCAGCUAGAGUCUUGUAGAGGGGGGUAGAAUUCCAUGUGUAGCGGUGAAAUGCGUAGAGAUGUGGAGGAAUACCGGUGGCGAAGGCGGCCCCCUGGACAAAGACUGACGCUCAGGUGCGAAAGCGUGGGGAGCAAACAGG
rnacentral:rRNA from 1 species